AGGAGCGGGACGCGCUGUCCAGUGGCUGCUUGCAGCAAGAAGCGAGCGCGGCGGCCCUGGAAGCGGGGAGGUGGAGGAGGGACGAGCAGAGACAGGCAGCGCUUUUGUGGGAGGACUGUAACUGUACUCCGCUCGGGAUUCCUCUCCUGUUCAGUCCACUAUAUUUAGCACUCUGUGGCCCAGUCAUCUCUUGGUACAAAUGGAGUACAUGAAGUGAAGUGCAGAUCAAGCAUGGAAACUACGAGCAGCAAUUCCUGCGAGCGUGACCACAAGGAAAACCACCGCCAGCCAUCUCCACGAUCACUCAACAAGCUUCUCUAGCUGGGGGUGUAAAUGCAUUUGUUCCACAGUGAAUCAGGAUUGCUUGUGUGCUUGCUACAAGUGGUAUGCGAACCAGCCCUCUAGUGGUAAUGAAGACCAGAGAAAUCCACUGUGAUACAGCAAUAAAGUUUGUUGCUGUAUUGCUCUUAUACUGUGAAAAGUCCAAAGGAAAUAAGAUGAUACUUUAAAGUGCUAGGGCUUUUGUUUGUGAAGGAAAAUACAACCUUAAUGUUCCAAAGUUGGCAUUUCAAUAGAAAUUAAUAUAAUACAAGGUACCACAAUCCCUCAAUUGACAUAUAUGCACGUAAAGCCACGGGUGAGAUGCAUUUAAAGAGCUAGUGUGGUGCAGUGGGAAAAGUGUUGAACUUAGAGUAAGGAGACCCAAGGUUAAAUGUCUGUUCAGCCACAAAGCUUACUAGGUGACUUUGGGCCAUCUCUCAGAGGGUUGUUGUAAAGAUAAAAUAGAAGGGAGCCAUAUAUGCUGCCCUGAGCAUCUUAGAGGAAAGGGAAAUUUAAUAAAUGCUACAUGUUUCAGCAGUG